UAGCGUUGUUCGGAAUUACUGGGCGUAAAGCGCACGUAGGCGGCUUUGUAAGUUAGAGGUGAAAGCCCGGAGCUCAACUUCGGAAUUGCCUUUAAGACUGCAUCGCUUGAAUCGUGGAGAGGUGAGUGGAAUUCCGAGUGUAGAGGUGAAAUUCGUAGAUAUUCGGAAGAACACCAGUGGCGAAGGCGACUCACUGGACACGUAUUGACGCUGAGGUGCGAAAGCGUGGGGAGCAAACAGG
rnacentral:rRNA from 1 species